GACAGUCUCAGUUCGGAUUGAAGGCUGAAAUUGCCUUCAUGAAGCCGGAAUUGCUAGUAAUGGCGGAUCAGCAUGCCGCGGUGAAUACGUUCCCGGGCCUUGUACACACCGCCCGUCACACCAUGAGAGUCGGGAACACCCGAAGUCCGUAGUCUAACCGCAAGGGGACGCGGCCGAAGGUGGGUUCGAUAAUUGGGGUGAAGUCGUAACAAGGUAUC
rnacentral:rRNA from 1 species